GUAAGUCAGACAAUCGCGCCCGUUUUGGGUGAGGAAAGUCCGGGCUCCAUAGAGCAGGGAUGCCGGCUAACGGCCGGUGAAGGCGACUUCAAGGAUAGUGCAACAGAAAAUAAAUGCCCGUAUUCGUACGCGGCGAUUGUGGAAAUGUGAGGUAAGAGCUCACAGGGAAGAUGGCAACUGAAUUCCCGUGUAAACCCCAUCCGGAGCAACUUUGAGAACGAUAAGCUAUGCUCGGCGUGUUCUCUUGCAAGGCUUGAGUCUGCCGGUAACGGCAGAACCAGAUAGAUGAUUGUCCGAUACAGAACCCGGCUUACAGACUUGCUCA
rnacentral:RNase_P_RNA from 1 species